UCUCUCGUUUUCCCUGGCUAUUUUCCCUCUUUCUAUUACAACCGACAUCGUUAUCAUCUCCAUCAGAACCAAACCUUCAUUGUCGCCGAAGAAGAAAGGUAUCCUCAUUACCAAAAGAUUUUUAUUUCACUUUUAUGAAGUAAACCCAAGAUUCAGAUUUUUUUAUCUUCCACUUCAAAAUCUUUAACCCGAUUCUAAUCUAAGCUGAUAUAUGCUCAAUAUGCUAUAAUCUGGAUUACCCAUAACAUGUUUUUGUUCUCAAAUCAUCUACAAUUUACAAAUUUUCGACCUAAUGAGGGAAAUCAGAGUUAAUCGAUUGCAAGUGUUUUUCUCUGUUCUGUGGGUGUUAUUGGCACGAGACUUCCCCCAAAAUCCCUUCUCUUUUUUCAGAAGAUUUCUUAGAAACCCACUUGAGUCAUUAACUCUUUCAGGGGAGAGAUAUGAUAGGUAGUGAAAGAACUGGCACAUGGAUAAAAUCAUUAAAUUUAAUGAGGUACAUGGAACCAGGAUGAGAUGAUCAAGUUAGGCAGGCUCAUUGAAUCCUACAAGGGAAAUGGAGAGUGUUUUGGACGAACAAUCAAUUAAAAAUGGUUUGGAUCAUUGUGGAGAGGAAACACAACCAAUGUCAUCCGUUACUUCCCUACUCAGGUUGGAUCAUAUGUGUUUUCAAUCCAAAGAGUAAAAGGAGGCAGAUUUCAUCUACUCAAUUUAUGAGAGGAAUUCAUCCUCCUGCUGCAGAUUAUCUAAGCUACAAAGAGAAUUCAAAUAUCCAAACAAUGCAAUGGAGGUAGAAGAGAACGGAGAGCAGUGAAUCCAGGAAGAAGAGGCUGUUGAGGUCGAUGCUGAUUCUACAGAUGGCGCUGUACUUGUAAACAGUAAUAAAGCUGAAGAAGAAUGGGGUACAACUAAUUAAGGAAACUUAUCAUCCUAAAAGCUAUUGGUUUGGCUAAAUAGGUCGCAGAUAUGAGCAAUAAGUGCCACUAUUUACAAGGCUGGUUAUGAAGCAACAAGAAGCUAUACUUGUUUGAGCAUGUAGGUAAUGAAUGAUGUUGAGCUUGUCUCCAGGUCUUGUGCCUUUACGAUUGUAUAUACUACUGCUAUUACACAUAGGAAAUAUUUAUAUACUCGUCAUUCUUUUGAUACUGCACAGAAUUUGUAUGUCCUUGGAACUUAAGAAAUACUUCUAGCUACAUCUUGGAACUUAAACAAUUUACAUGUAUUGCCUAAGUUGUUGUUCUUUGUCAUACUUUUCAGAGGUAUACGGAAUAACUCUUUAGUUUA